AUACAUAGUCAAACGAAGCGAACCGGGGGAACUGAAACAUCUCAGUACCCCGAGGAAAAGAAAUCAACCGAGAUUCCCCUAGUAGCGGCGAGCGAACGGGGAGCAGCCCAGAGUCUUAAUCAGCAUUAGCAUCAGGAGAACGGUCUGGAAAGUCCGGCAGUAAAGGGUGAUAGCCCCGUAUCCGAAGGUGUUAGUGUUGUGAACUCGACGAGUAGGGCGGGACACGUGUUAUCCUGUCUGAAUAUGGGGGGACCAUCCUCCAAGGCUAAAUACUCCUGAUUGACCGAUAGUGAACCAGUACCGUGAGGGAAAGGCGAAAAGAACCCCGGCGAGGGGAGUGAAAUAGAACCUGAAACCGUGUACGUACAAGCAGUGGGAGCCUUGAUUUAUCAGGGUGACUGCGUACCUUUUGUAUAAUGGGUCAGCGACUUAU
rnacentral:rRNA from 1 species